rnacentral:scRNA from 1 species
AUGGUCUGAGGCAUGAGCUGCCGCGUUUGCGUAUGCUGCAGCUUGCCUAACAGGACCUAUAUUAUACCAGAUGAGGCUAAGAGAAGUUUCACUUGGCAGUUGCAGGUGUGAGCAUGUGUUCAGCUGUUUGAUGCUCAUGUAUGAUACUGCCCACAAUC